CCUACGGGAGGCAGCAGUGAGGAAUAUUGGUCAAUGGGAGAGAUCCUGAACCAGCCAAGCCGCGUGAGGGAAGACGGCCCUAUGGGUUGUAAACCUCUUUUGUCGGAGAACAAAACCCGGGACGUGUCCCGGACUGCGUGUAUCCGAAGAUAAAGCAUCGGCUAACUCCGUGCCAGCAGCCGCGGUAAUACGGAGGAUGCGAGCGUUAUCGGGAUUUAUUGGGUUUAAAGGGUGCGUAGGCGGUCCGUUAAGUCAGCGGGAAAAUUGCGGGGCUCAACCCCGUCGAGCCGUUGAAACUGGCAGACUUGAGUUGGCGAGAGGUACGCGGAAUGCGCGGUGUAGCGGUGAAAUGCAUAGAUAUCGCGCAGAACUCCGAUUGCGAAGGCAGCGUACCGGCGCCAGACUGACGCUGAGGCACGAAAGCGUGGGGAUCGAACAGGAUUAGAUACCCUUGUAGUC
rnacentral:rRNA from 1 species